AUGCAGAGUCACAAAAAUUGUACAUAGAAAUGCACCAAUAAACUUGUUCAAUCCAUUUGAUAUUCAUGUUAUAUGUGCGACUGGCGACUUCUUUUCUAUCUCUGAUUGGCAUGGCUUCCUUUUUCACUAGCCAAACAUCGAACAAACUGCAACGAAGCUUUCUUCUAAUUGGAGCUAAAAUUGAAUGAAGGCUGUUGAAUGUAGUGAAACUGUGGUGUAGAUGUAGGGGAAGAGAAUCCUGAUGAUGCUGC
rnacentral:miRNA from 1 species